rnacentral:rRNA from 1 species
CGCGUAGGCGGUCUUAUUAGUCAGAUGUGAAAGCCCGGGGCUCAACCCCGGAAGAGCAUUUGAAACGGCAAGACUUGAGUAUGGGAGAGGGAAGUGGAAUUCCUGGUGUAGAGGUGAAAUUCGUAGAUAUCAGGAGGAACAUCUGUGGCGAAGGCGACUUCCUGGACCAAUACUGACGCUAAGGCGCGAAGGCGUGGGUAGCAAACAGGAUUAGAUACCCUGGUAGUCC